CAGCCGCCGCGGUAAUACGUAGGUGGCGAGCGUUAUCCGGAAUUAUUGGGCGUAAAGAGUGAGCAGGCGGCCGUUUAAGUCUGAAGUCAAAUGCAGUGGCUCAACCACUGUCCGCUUUGGAAACUGGAUGGCUAGAGUACGAGAGAGGUAUGUGGAAUUCUAUGUGGAGCGGUGAAAUGCGUAGAUAUAUAGAGGAAUAUCAGAGGCGAAGGCGGCAUACUAGAUCGAUACUGACGCUCAGUCACGAAAGCGUGGGGAGCAAAUAGGAUUAGAUACCCUAGUAGUCCACGCCGUAAACGAUGAGAACUAAGUGUUGGGGUCAAACCCAGUACUGAAGCUAACGCAUUAAGUUCUCCGCCUGGGGAGUACGGUCGCAAGACUGAAACUUAAAGGAAUUGACGGGGGCCCGCACAAGCAGUGGAGCAUGUGGUUUAAUUCGAAGCUACGCGAAGAACCUUACCAGGGCUUGACAUGGUUCUAAGACCCUAGAAAUAGGGGGAUAUACAGAACACACAGGUGGUGCAUGGCC
rnacentral:rRNA from 1 species